rnacentral:rRNA from 1 species
AAAGGAAUAGACGGGGGCCCGCACAAGCGGAGGAACAUGUGGUUUAAUUCGAUGAUACGCGAGGAACCUUACCCGGGCUUGAAUUGCAACUGAAUGUGCCGGAGACGGUACAGCCGCAAGGCAGUUGUGAAGGUGCUGCAUGGUUGUCGUCAGCUCGUGCCGUGAGGUGUCGGCUUAAGUGCCAUAACGAGCGCAACCCUUAUCUUCAGUUACCAGCGAGCAAUGUCGGGGACUCUGGAGAGACUGCCGUCGUAAGAUGUGAGGAAGGUGGGGAUGACGUCAAAUCAGCACGGCCCUUACGUCCGGGGCUACACACGUGUUACAAUGGGGGGUACAGAAGGCAGCUACCGCGCAAGCGGCUGCUAAUCCCGAAAGCCCCUCUCAGUUCGGACUGGAGUCUGCAACCCGACUCCACGAAGCUGGAUUCGCUAGUAAUCGCGCAUCAGCCAUGGCGCGGUGAAUACGUUCCCGGGCCUUGUACACACCGCCCGU